rnacentral:rRNA from 1 species
CGGGUGAGUAACGCGUGGAAAACCUGCCGUAUACUGGGGGAUAACACUUAGAAAUAGGUGCUAAUACCGCAUAAGCGCACAGCUUCGCAUGAAGCAGUGUGAAAAACUCCGGUGGUAUACGAUGGUUCCGCGUCUGAUUAGCUAGUUGGUGAGGUAAAAGCCUACCAAGGCAACGAUCAGUAGCCGGCCUGAGAGGGUGAACGGCCACAUUGGGACUGAGACACGGCCCAGACUCCUACGGAAGGCAGCAG